rnacentral:rRNA from 1 species
UACGGAGGGGGCAAGCGUUGUUCGGAAUUACUGGGCGUAAAGGGCUCGUAGGUGGCCAACUAAGUCAGACGUGAAAUCCCUCGGCUUAACCGGGGAACUGCGUCUGAUACUGGAUGGCUUGAGUUCGGGAGAGGGAUGCGGAAUUCCAGGUGUAGCGGUGAAAUGCGUAGAUAUCUGGAGGAACACCGGUGGCGAAGGCGGCAUCCUGGACCGACACUGACGCUGAGGAGCGAAAGCCAGGGGAGCAAACGGG